rnacentral:rRNA from 1 species
UACGAAGGGGGCUAGCGUUGUUCGGAAUUACUGGGCGUAAAGCGCGUGUAGGUGGUUGUCCAAGUUGGAUGUGAAAGCCUUGAGCUCAACUCAAGAAAUGCAUUCAGGACUGGGCGGCUAGAGGACCGGAGAGGAUAGUGGAAUUCCCAGUGUAGUGGUGAAAUACGUAGAUAUUGGGAAGAACACCGGUGGCGAAGGCGGCGACCUGGUCCGUGACUGACGCUGAGGCGCGAAAGCGUGGGGAGCAAACAGG